rnacentral:lncRNA from 1 species
AAUAAUAAUAGAAAACAGAAAGUAAUAUUUGAUAGAGAUAUUUAAGUGAAAUUACGGUAAAACUUAGAGGAAUAUAUAAUUCACUGGAGCCGUGUGAGUGAGAGAAAAACCCUAGAUUACUAUUUCCUUGCAAACUGUUGAGGGCCUUGUACCUUGGUGGGAAAGUAGAGCUCGAAAGAGAAGAAAGAAUUGUGAGGACGUUGGCUUGGUGGCUGUAUCUGUCACUGUUUAUUGUGUAUAGUGAAUUGACGUAAAUAUAUUUUAGUAAAUUGUUUUUGGUGUGUUGGUCUUAUGCUAUAAUAUGGGUUGGGGUUUGGUUUCCAAAGUUUGGAUGUUGAAUGCAUGCCGACGGUGGGGAAGUGUAGGUGUUACGUGAGUUUUCUUGAACUGUGAUGGAGUAGCAGGCUUAGGGUGGUGUGUUAUGAGUGGAGUGUGUGGGGUUUAGAAAAAAAUGAAUCUAAGAAUUGGGGUAUUAAAAUCAGUGAUGAGGGUUUCGGUGUUGCAAGAGAAAACGGGUAGGUCUUUACUGUGAAGGACUUUCUUGCAGUGACUCUUUACCUAUAUAUUUUGGGUGUAGAUAUUAGAUGAGAA